GACGAACGCUGGCGGCGUGCUUAACACAUGCAAGUCGAAUGCUGAAGCACCAGCUUGCUGGUGUGGAUGAGUGGCGAACGGGUGAGUAAUACGUGAGUAACCUGCCCUUGACUCUGGGAUAAGCCCGGGAAACUGGGUCUAAUACUGGAUGCUACAUGUCACCGCAUGGUGGUGUGUGGAAAGGGUUUACUGGUCUUGGAUGGGCUCACGGCCUAUCAGCUUGUUGGUGAGGUAAUGGCUCACCAAGGCGACGACGGGUAGCCGGCCUGAGAGGGUGAACGGCCACACUGGGACUGAGACACGGGCCAGACUCCUACGGGAGGCAGCAGUGGGGAAUAUUGCAUAAUGGGCGAAAGCCUGAUGCAGCGACGCCGCGUGAGGGAUGACGGCCUUCGGGUUGUAAACCUCUUUCAGCAGGGAAGAAGCCACAAGUGACGGUACCUGCAGAAGAAGCGCCGGCUAACUACGUGCCAGCCGCCGCGGUAA
rnacentral:rRNA from 1 species